CGGAGGGUCCAAGCGUUAUCCGGAAUCAUUGGGUUUAAAGGGUCCGUAGGCGGUUUAGUAAGUCAGUGGUGAAAGCCCAUCGCUCAACGGUGGAACGGCCAUUGAUACUGCUAGACUUGAAUUAUUAGGAAGUAACUAGAAUAUGUAGUGUAGCGGUGAAAUGCUUAGAGAUUACAUGGAAUACCAAUUGCGAAGGCAGGUUACUACUAAUGGAUUGACGCUGAUGGACGAAAGCGUGGGGAGCGAACAGGAUUAGAUACCCUGGUAGUCCACGCCGUAAACGAUGGAUACUAGCUGUUCGGAGCAAUCUGAGUGGCUAAGCGAAAGUGAUAAGUAUCCCACCUGGGGAGUACGUUCGCAAGAAUG
rnacentral:rRNA from 1 species